GACGAACCGUCCUAACGUUGUUCGGAAUCACUGGGCUUAAAGGGCGCGUAGGCGGGUUCCCAAGUCGGUGGUGAAAUCUUUCGGCCCAACCGGAAAACAGCCGCCGAUACUGGGAGUCUUGAGGGAGGUAGGGGUCGAUGGAACUUCCGGUGGAGCGGUGAAAUGCGUAGAUAUCGGAAGGAACGCCGGUGGCGAAAGCGAUCGACUGGACCUUUUCUGACGCUGAGGCGCGAAAGCCAGGGGGAGCAAACGGG
rnacentral:rRNA from 1 species